AUUGUGGAGGACGGGUCUUGAUCCAACGCCUAGCCUCCGAAGGAGCUCGCUCGGGCGCCCGAUGGUAGCGGUUCGCUCAUCAUUGUAAUUACUUCACGAGGAUGUACCAGUAUAUUGGAUCAUUAUCGACCGCUCCAUAUCUACCACCUAGCCCGUCUGCUCAUGGGUCCGAGAAGAGAUCGAUCGUGACCGCGAUUCACAACCGCGGUAACGCUCUUCACCGCCGUUAUCGACAAUGACGCUCGAGCGACGCGCCGUCGUCGAAGAUGAGACUACGUUAGAAUUCCAUCGAGAUGAAGCCUUGACAUUUCGUGGCCUGGAAUCGACCGGCAUAAUUGAUCGGUCUCCGCGUGUGGCUCCCAUUCGACGAACGACCGUGCUAUUCCAUUCCGUCCGGUGUAGUUACGACGAACCGCGUCGUACGACCUCGCGCUCAGCGACGAAACGCGGCCGUGUCGACUCUGCGAACAGGAUUCCAGUCUUUCGCGGAACGAAAAAGAAGCGAGACCAAUUAAAUUGGAUCCUUAGAACGUCUCGCUGGAAGAGGAGGGCUCAAAGUUGAAGCAAAUCGCAAUAAAAAAAUUAUGAAAAUAAUUCGAAGAACGAUAAAUGAUAAUGUUUUAUCGACGCUUGUGUUUGAUUUUGCAUUAUAUUAUAUCUCUUGACGUAUAAUUUUGUCCGUGUCAAUGAUUUUUGAAAAAAAAAAA